rnacentral:rRNA from 1 species
CUCGUCAACGCAAAGAGAAGAAGGCGAAGCAGAGAAGCCGGCCUCAGGAGGAGGAGGUCUGAAGGCCUCUGGGGUGCGCUACGCGGGGCGCCGGAGCUUCCACCGGCCCUUCCUCUUCUCGUCCUCCUUCCCGCCGCCGCGGCCGCGGCCUCUCGUAGAGGAGUGGCUGGCGCAGGAGAGGGAGGCGCGGGCGGACGUGCUGCGGGAGAGGGAGCCGGAGCGGUCCAGACUACCGGUGCCACGUUUUUUUACCGUCAGAUGACUACGACCUUAAGUCAGAGUGCGCUAGUUUCGUCACUGACGAAAAGAGCCAACAAACAGUUGACUUUACGACGCCGAAGGAGGAUAUUUCCUCAGCUAAAGCCUAUAAGAGCAUGAGAACCUUCCACAAGAAGUCUGUUUCUUGCAAAGUCAAGACUAGGUUCGUCGUCUACACUCGAGUUUCAAUCAAAGGUCGUAUCCGUUAAGCUAAGCCGUUAUGGGUUAAAACCUCUAACAAAGCGGGGAGAGUACGGUCAACAGCCGUGUGGUCAAUGGAUGUCGAUAGAGUACACGUUCCCGCUACUUAACGUAUAACUUAUCGGAUCACUGCCGCUCUCCAAGUUGAGUACGUCUUUAAAACCUUUGGAACCUCUCUUGGUUACGUCAACGUUCAUAACAAAGUCGAGACGUCUCAAUGUGAGGACUACAGGUAGGUGACUCAAUAGACUGGCUCUACUAUAGUGACGAUUCUUGGUAUGACACCUAAACCGGAAGGAGUUCUAUGGUACAUACCUCAUUACCGUUGGACUACCCCUUCAAUCGUGUAAUGACAGAACGGUGACUUUGUUGCCAACAACGAUUUCAAGAAUCCGACAUACGACGAAAUCGAAAUACACCGGUACCUCGAUACUAGGAAGAGUUCUUGCUUCAGAAUUACCGAUUCUAAACACUCGAGCACCCUUGCAGGGUAGGCUCAUCAUGAUCCUAACUUCGCAAGUUUGAGACGGUAUAAGAAAACUCUAGAAGCUUCCCGACAUCAGUCAAUUACUGAAGUGCGACGGUCGGAUAACAACUUCCGUAUUAGCUACGUUACGCACGUUUCCUACUAUUUAACAAUCAUUGUCUCCCCACAGCAUGACGUGACGACCACGAGGCAAUACGACCCUUAGUAGUGGUUACGAAAACCAGAUUACGGUAACUAUUUCAUAAUAUAUCGUAAGAAUGGCCAGCGACGGAGAGGAGUGUAGUUUCACUAUUUCAUAACACGCUACUACUCGAUAAACUAUACCAAAGGUUUUUGAAGUACCUAUAUGUAGGUAUGCAGACCCUAUAUGAACCUAUAGAUCACCACGUAACGUGACUCCUAGUGGUAGGACAUUCCUUUCCCUUUCCAGUAUCGAACGUGCGUGACUAUAGAACACGAACGAACGACCGGUGUCUACAAUACGCGUUUUCGUCGGGGUACUGUAAUAGGUUUCUACACGUCCUCGGCCGAAACUCCCGUCAAGACUACUACGAAGAGAGAGGGUUACCUAUAUAAGUCAUACUCCGUUCAAAAUUUGAAAGUCUUCCAGAAGGUAUAAACCCACUGCCGAUAAACUUGCAAGACAACAGUAGUAAUCUUAGUUUAUGAUGCUCUUCACAACGGUGUAGAAAACUGUCAAAGUUUUAAUACUGGUUGGAGUACUUGGAGCGUACAAACCACGACAGUGCUGGAAUGGUAUUAGAGGAAUUGUUCUCCUUAGGAUAACUACACAACAGGUAGUAAUAGUUCCUUACAGAGGUGUUAUUAUAUGUAUAAUGCUCCAGUUUUCAGUGAAGGGUAGACGUAAAAACAAAACUUCCUUCAAGUACGACAACGAUAGAGCCACUUCUCACCCUCCCACUUUUGUAUCAGAAUAAGAUGCCAGAACAACCCGACAAAUUAGAAGACUCCUCGUGAUGAAAUCAAACACAAGUCACAUUCUCCUUCAACCUACAACCCUAAGACACGGUACUGACGUCUCUAGUCAUAUGGCUUCUAAAAGAAUAUCAAGAAGUUGCACGAGAUUCAGUUUCGAACUCAAGACCUGGCUUCGAGAUAUAACGUGUGUAGGACUCAAACAAACCGGAGACGCCAAGAGGUUCGUUCAACCCGCCCUUCUACUCAUCACGUAAUCUAUUAUUGCUAGAUCGACUAGACCUUGAAAACGAAAGUCUACCACUUAGAUAUUUAUGAGUGUGUCGGUAGUAUAGUCGUUCCACAGGAUUCGACAACGGUAGACCUUUUACAGAUGAACCGUCACUGCUUUUUCAAUUUCUACUUACCCCUUUUAGUCACAUGGCUCAAGUUUACAGACUAGCACAUCUAUCGGUGCGGAACUUCUUCUAAAACCUCAUGUGUAUAUGACCAAAACACUACUUUCUCGUUGGGUCUACCUUGAGGCUAAUAUGGUCUAUACUAGAAUGACAACGUGAACCUGGACAACUCGUAAGUAAGAGCCUGUAUUAAAACCUCCGAGUCAGUUUGCUCCUUUACUUCACACUGGUACCCGGCACGGUUAACAGUUGGGGCGUGCAAGUAUCGGUAUUCUGGCACGACUAGUACUCGACGCUAAUGGAGGCCCGUAAUAAAGCUAGGCCCUACGUGCUCUCGAAGAGCCUGCAGUAGUCCCAAGGCGAGCCCACCGUUCGCGACCUGUUUGAUCAGGUGACCAAGAUGAGUCCGCUCGACGGGUCACAGCGGGAGCUGACGGCCACCUUGUUGGACUCGUCGCUGCUCGUCGCGAGGGUGGACUUGCGGAUGCGCCUCGACAGCAGCGACCGUCUCAAGACCAAGGACCUCCCCCACUUCCUCCUCUCGGACAGCCGCCGGAGCAGGGAGGACCCGAGCUCGUGCUCGCGGCGGCGCCAGCUCAAGCAGCGCAAGCGACGGUUGGACCCGGUCACCCUCUACCAGCUCCGGCCGCAGGCGUCGCACCGCGUGGACAUGGGGGCCGACGCCCUGAGGCCAGCCGACCUCGCCGAGCUGCUCCUCGACGAGUUGUACGACGCCUGGCUCAUGCAGGCCAUGAGCGUCGUGCCCCCGCCUCCAUUGACUUACCAUGACGUACCUAGACUUACGUGUAGUGUCACGCGAAACAUCUAUGUCCCUACGACAGUAUGGAAAAAAGUGUCUCUUAUACGUCACAUAAUAACGGACCCAA